AUUGAACGCUGGCGGCAUGCCUUACACAUGCAAGUCGAACGGCAGCGGGGGAGAAGCUUGCUUUUCCUGCCGGCGAGUGGCGAACGGGUGAGUAAUACAUCGGAACGUGCCCUGUAGUGGGGGAUAACUAGUCGAAAGAUUAGCUAAUACCGCAUACGACCUGAGGGUGAAAGUGGGGGACCGCAAGGCCUCAUGCUAUAGGAGCGGCCGAGGUCUGAUUAGCUAGUUGUGUGGGGAAAGGCCUACCAAGGCGACGAUCAGUAGCUGUGCUGAGAGGACGAUCAGCCACACUGGGACUGAGACACGGCCCAGACUCCUACGGGAGGCAGCAGUGGUGAAUUUUGGACAAUGGGCGAAAGCCUGAUCCAGCAAUGCCGCGUGUGUGAAGAAGGCCUUCGGGUUGUAAAGCACUUUUGUCCGGAAAGAAAUGGCUCUGGUUAAUACCUGGGGUCGAUGACGGUACCGGAAGAAUAAGGACCGGCUAACUACGUGCCAGCCGCCGCGGUAA
rnacentral:rRNA from 1 species